UGCAAGUCGAACGAGAAAGUGGAGCAAUCCAUGAGUAAAGUGGCGCACGGGUGAGUAACACGUGGGUAAUUUACCUCCUUGUGGGGAAUAACCCUGGGAAACCGGGGCUAAUACCGCAUACGUCCGAGAGGAGAAAGCCGAAAGGCGCAGGGAGAGAAGCCCGCGGCCGAUUAGCUAGUUGGUAGGGUAAUGGCCUACCAAGGCGACGAUCGGUAGCCGGCCUGAGAGGGCACACGGCCACACUGGCACUGAAACACGGGCCAGACUCCUACGGGAGGCAGCAGUGGGGAAUCUUGCACAAUGGGGGAAACCCUGAUGCAGCGACGCCGCGUGAACGAUGAAGCCCUUCGGGGUGUAAAGUUCUUUCGACGGGGACGAUAAUGACGGUACCCGGAGAAGAAGCUGCGGCUAACUACGUGCCAGCAGCCGCGGUAAUACGUAGGCAGCAAGCGUUGUUCGGAAUUACUGGGCGUAAAGAGUGCGUAGGCGGUUGGCUAAGUUUGGUGUGAAAUCUCCCGGCUCAACUGGGAGGGUGCGCCGAAAACUGGCCGGCUAGAGUGUGGGAGAGGUAAGUGGAAUUCCUGGUGUAGCGGUGAAAUGCGUAGAUAUCAGGAGGAACACCUGCGGUGUAGACGGCUUACUGGACCAUGACUGACGCUGAGGCACGAAAGCGUGGGGAGCAAAC
rnacentral:rRNA from 1 species